GACGAACGCUGGCGGCGUGCUUAACACAUGCAAGUCGAACGAAAAGAGGGAAAGAGCUUGCUCUUUCCGGAAUUGAGUGGCAAACGGGUGAGUAACACGUAAACAACCUGCCUUCAGGAUGGGGACAACAGACGGAAACGACUGCUAAUACCGAAUAAGUUCCAAGAGCCGCAUGGCCCAUGGAAGAAAAGGUGGCCUCUACCUGUAAGCUAUCGCCUGAAGAGGGGUUUGCGUCUGAUUAGCUGGUUGGAGGGGUAACGGCCCACCAAGGCGACGAUCAGUAGCCGGUCUGAGAGGAUGAACGGCCACACUGGAACUGAGACACGGUCCAGACUCCUACGGGAGGCAGCAGUGGGGAAUCUUCCGCAAUAGGCGAGAGCCUGACGGAGCAACGCCGCGUGAGUGAUGACGGCCUUCGGGUUGUAAAACUCUGUGAUCCGGGACGAAAAGGCAGAGUGCGAAGAACAAACUGCAUUGACGGUACCGGAAAAGCAAGCCACGGCUAACUACGUG
rnacentral:rRNA from 1 species